rnacentral:rRNA from 2 species
GUCGAGCGGACGGAUGGGAGCUUGCUCCCUGAAGUCAGCGGCGGACGGGUGAGUAACACGUGGGCAACCUGCCUGUAAGACUGGGAUAACUCCGGGAAACCGGGGCUAAUACCGGAUAAUUCUUUCCCUCACAUGAGGGAAAGCUGAAAGAUGGCUUCGGCUAUCACUUACAGAUGGGCCCGCGGCGCAUUAGCUAGUUGGUGAGGUAACGGCUCACCAAGGCGACGAUGCGUAGCCGACCUGAGAGGGUGAUCGGCCACACUGGGACUGAGACACGGCCCAGACUCCUACGGGAGGCAGCAGUAGGGAAUCUUCCGCAAUGGACGAAAGUCUGACGGAGCAACGCCGCGUGAGUGAUGAAGGUUUUCGGAUCGUAAAACUCUGUUGUUAGGGAAGAACAAGUGCCGGAGUAACUGCCGGCACCUUGACGGUACCUAACCAGAAAGCCACGGCUAACUACGUGCCAGCAGCCGCGGUAAUACGUAGGUGGCAAGCGUUGUCCGGAAUUAUUGGGCGUAAAGCGCGCGCAGGCGGUUCCUUAAGUCUGAUGUGAAAGCCCACGGCUCAACCGUGGAGGGUCAUUGGAAACUGGGGAACU